GGAACAUGGCGGCGGCGGACCUCGCUCUCAUUCCUGAUGUGGACAUCGACUCCGACGGCGUCUUCAAGUAUGUGCUGAUCCGAGUCCACUCGGCUCCCCGCUCCGGGGCUCCGGCUGCAGAGAGCAAGGAAAUCGUGCGCGGCUACAAGUGGGCUGAGUACCAUGCGGACAUCUACGACAAAGUGUCGGGCGACAUGCAGAAGCAAGGCUGUGACUGUGAGUGUCUGGGCGGCGGGCGCAUCUCCCACCAGAGUCAGGACAAGAAGAUUCACGUGUACGGCUAUUCCAUGAUGAGACCCACGUGCGUCCCUCUGGGCGCCUCAGGCCCCAGGAUCCACCAUCAAGGCCUAUGGUCCUGCCCAGCACGCCAUUUCAACUGAGAAAAUCAAAGCCAAGUACCCCGACUACGAGGUCACCUGGGCUAACGAUGGCUACUGAGCACUCCCAGCCCGGGGCCUGCUGCCUCCAGCAGCCACUUCAGAGCCCCCGCCUUUGCCUGCACUCCUCUUGCAGGGCUGGCCCUGCCUGCUCCUGCGGCAGCCUCUGGUGACGUGCUGUCCACCAGGCCUUGGAGACAGGCUAGCCUGGCCACAGAAUUAAACGUGUUGCCACACCUGC
rnacentral:sRNA from 1 species